rnacentral:rRNA from 1 species
AUUGAACGCUGGCGGCAUGCUCUACACAUGCAAGUCGAACGGUAACAGGCCGCAAGGUGCUGACGAGUGGCGAACGGGUGAGUAAUGCAUCGGAACGUGCCCAGUCGUGGGGGAUAACGCAGCGAAAGCUGCGCUAAUACCGCAUACGAUCUAUGGAUGAAAGCGGGGGACCGUAAGGCCUCGCGCGAUUGGAGCGGCCGAUGUCAGAUUAGGUAGUUGGUGGGGUAAAGGCGCACCAAGCCGACGAUCUGUAGCUGGUCUGAGAGGACGACCAGCCACACUGGGACUGAGACACGGCCCAGACUCCUACGGGAGGCAGCAGUGGGGAAUUUUGGACAAUGGGCGCAAGCCUGAUCCAGCAAUGCCGCGUGCAGGAAGAAGGCCUUCGGGUUGUAAACUGCUUUUGUACGGAACGAAACGGCCUUUUCUAAUACAAGAGGCUAAUGACGGUACCGUAAGAAUAAGCACCGGCUAACUACGUGCCAGCAGCCGCGGUAAAAC